GGCUGUUGAGCCAGUCCGCUAAAGGCGGCGUGGAAAAAGUUCCCUCAGGCAAGAAGCUCAGAAAAGGACAGAAAGUGGGACGGCGUGGAAAGACAGCACAAGCCGAUGUUAAAGUCUUUCUCUCACCGUCUGGCCCUCGCCACCUCUCUCAUACACUCCGUCCCUCCCCCCCACCUUGUUGCUCCUCCUAUUUCCCCCCCCCUUCUAUGUUACCUCCCUCUUGCCCUCUCCUCCCCUCCUCCCUCCCAUUCACUAAACAGGAGGUGCUUUCACUGCUUGGGACACUAGAGAGAAUGUAGCCAGGGAAUGUGCAGAGGACACGACCGAAGCUAUUGAACGUGACUUCUAGGCUGUCACCAUCGGAGGAAAGACUUGCCCUUUAACCCAAUGCGGGGGUCUUUCAUUUGAAGGGAGGCACAGCUAUCUUGUUUUGGGCCUUCAGCGCACAGAAUCCUGAAUCCCACCGGCUCCAUCAGCCCACAUCUUCUACCGCUUUCCCCUGCUGCUGUUCCCUCUCCUUCAGACUGUCCCCUACAGGGCCUCCUGGAGCCCCGGGCAUCCUUCAGCCUCUGCGGGGAGCAGGAGGAGGGAUGUGGCUCCCUCUCCCAGCACCUCUGCCUCGCACCUGGAAACCUGAGGCAUGGCCCUGUCCUGGAUAAAUCACACCAGGAUGUGUCCACUCUCACAGAUCUGUGUUCAGGAGCGGAUUUGCCAGAGGUGGAGAUUGUGAGUUUGCUGACUGAGAAGUUACCCAGAUACACUCUGCGGGCAGAUUAUGUGUUUGGGUAUGAGCAUGAUGACUGGCUGCACACUCCACUGCUGCCA